rnacentral:rRNA from 1 species
GACGAACGCUGGCGGCGUGCUUAACACAUGCAAGUCGAACGGAAAGGCCCUGCUUUUGUGGGGUGCUCGAGUGGCGAACGGGUGAGUAACACGUGAGUAACCUGCCCUUGACUUUGGGAUAACUUCAGGAAACGGGGGCUAAUACCGGAUAGGAGCUCCUGCUGCAUGGUGGGGGUUGGAAAGUGUCGGCGGUUGGGGAUGGACUCGCGGCUUAUCAGCUUGUUGGUGGGGUAGUGGCUUACCAAGGCUUUGACGGGUAGCCGGCCUGGGUGGGUGACCGGCCACAUUGGGACUGCGGUACGGCCCAGACUCCUACGGGAGGCAGCGGUGGGGAAUAUUGCACAAUGGGCGGAAGCCUGAUGCAGCAACGCCGCGUGCGGGAUGACGGCCUUCGGGUUGUAAACCGCUUUCGCCUGUGACGAAGCGUGAGUGACGGUAAUGGGUAAAGAAGCACCGGCUAACUACGUG